rnacentral:lncRNA from 1 species
CCAGACCCGUGGAGCCCUUAGGGUUUAGAGGACCAGCGUAGAAAUUCUCAUCCAGGCAGUUUGAUCCUUUUGGUUCUCAAAAGGGAAUUGAAUGUACAUAUCUGCUUAUUAUUCUCAAAUAAUUUCUUCUUUCACGUUAUUAUUUCUCAAAUCUUUCCUUUUUUUCCCUCUCCACAGAAAAAGCUACAGAAAAUUUAAAAGUAUUUUCAGAAAAGACAGUACACUGAGUAGGAUUUGCACAUCAAGAAAAAGUAGAAAUGGGAGCUGGGAGUCAAGUGUUUUGGAGGGGGAUAGAGAAAAAGAUUAGGCUGGAAGGGGUACUGGGCCAGUUGUCGGGGCGUGUACACCCGUGUGUGUGUGUGUGUGUGUGUGUGUGUGUGUGUGUGUGUGUGUGUGGUGUGUGUGUAACUUUCUCACUGAACGUUUACUUGAACAACUCCAGCACUGUCUAGACUGGAUUAACAGAAAGAUGUGUGUGGGCAGUUGGGGGGUUUGUGGGCAGGCAACCCUGGUAAUGGGAUGCAGUGAUGGCAGCUGGGCUGCUGAGCAGGCAUGAUGAGCUGCAGAAGGAGCAGGGCUCUGGUUCCCAUGCUGGUCCAUCGUGCUGGUGUGGAGCUUCCUCCAGGCUGUGGGGUGUGCAUGGUAGGUGGGGCUUCCCUCCUUCCCCAAACUAGCCCAGCAAUUCCCCAGGAAGUCAGGCCACUGCUACUGCUUCUGACUGCACUGCAUCUCUAAAGGGAGUGUCACCCUGUCUGUACCAAGGAUGGGGACAGCAGAAGAAUCUCACAGGCCAGGUGGGUCUCAAUUGGUAAAUGCAGGGUGGACAUAUGUGUGUUUGCUGUGGCUCACCACUCUGUCCUUUGCAGACACUGCUAAUUAGUCAGUCACAGGAUUCUCACCCCAGUGCCCAGUGAGCACUACCAAAAGCUCCAGAUGGCUUAUAAGCAUCUGGAGACUCUUGUAUUCCCUGUGGAUCCUUCCUGACCAGAUCUCAGAACCUUCCCUGGAAAUGAGGAAGUGGCAUGUCACCACCCAGUACCUGUACUGUCAGAGAUGGCAUCCCGGGUGACCAUUCCCUGAGUGGAGGAAGAGAGGGUUCCGUGCAGGGGACUUCCUUGGUGGAUGAUGGGGUAAGUGAGGCCUUUGGUCUGGCAUAAAGCCUGUGUGGAGCAGAGACUCCAGUGGGGCUGUGACAAGCAGCUGCUGCUCAACCAGGCCUCCCAGGACACUUUGUCCCCCUCCCACCACAGCUGAGCCUGGAUGAGACUGUGGACACCCAUAGACACCAGAGGAUGAGACCUUGAGCAGUGGUGGUUCUGGGGUGUGGGGUGAAGGCAGCUGGGACAGGGCCUCCAGGUGUGGGAGGAUCCAGCCUCUCUUGUGAGGCCCUGGGCACAUCACUGCCCUCUGUGGGCCUCUGUUUCCUCAUCUGGCAGAUGAACAAACGAUGAGCCUGUUGAGCAGGCCUCACAGCGUCCUGAUGGGGUUCAGUAAGGAAGGGAAUUUAUGGGUGCUUGUACCUUGCUCUUCCCACGAAGGAUGAUGGUGAGAGCACUGCUGAGAGCCACAUGAAACUGAGUCAUCAGGAGGCCCUGUGAGGAAGGCGUGGUUCCCAUCACACUUCCUUGAUGAAAAAAUAGUCUCAGGGAGGUCCGGCCACCUGCCCAAGGUGACACAAGCAGUGGAGACCUCCAAACUGGCCAUGCAGGAGAUGAUUCCUCACACAGCACAGAUGAGGCUGUGGGGCAGCAGGUGAGUGGAUCUGUGGUGGGAGGGGCUCCAGGGAGCCGAAGGGCAGUCUUCUUCCCCACCAGCUGGAGGCCUCCACAUCAAGAGAGCAGGGGGUCUUCCUCCCCCAGCCCUGCCCUCCUGUGGCCACAGGGCCUGAAAUGCCUCCAUUAGAGGGAGCAGAGAAACCAACCGCCUGGGCAAGCUGGGCUCAGUGUAGAUUUGGGGAACAGUGAGA